GAAAGAGUUUUAUUUAUAUCUGCUGGAUCUUCCAGUGGACAGGGAUAAAAAAUCCUCAUCUAUUUGACAACAGUCUAAGAGCAAUAUUGUUUUAUGAUCAAGUUUCCUUAAAUAUUUUCUUGCAUAGUAUUAAUUUUGUAGCUCGUUCAAUGUAUUAUUUCAAUUCAUAAUUUUGUACUUUGAUCUCUAAUACUUUAACUCCUAAUCUGCAUAUAUAAGUAAUUCAUAAUAUUAUAAUACUUAUAUUGCUUAGUUUUAAGCUAGAA
rnacentral:misc_RNA from 1 species